rnacentral:rRNA from 1 species
GUGGGGAAUAUUGGACAAUGGGCGAAAGCCUGAUCCAGCCAUGCCGCGUGUGUGAAGAAGGUCUUCGGAUUGUAAAGCACUUUAAGUUGGGAGGAAGGGCAGUAAGUUAAUACCUUGCUGUUUUGACGUUACCGACAGAAUAAGCACCGGCUAACUUCGUGCCAGCAGCCGCGGUAAUACGAAGGGUGCAAGCGUCAAUCGGAAUUACUGGGCGUAAAGCGCGCGUAGGUGGUUUUGUAAGUUGGAGGUGAAAUCCCCGGGCUCAACCUGGGAACUGCCUCCAAAACUGCAUGACUAGAGUACGGUAGAGGGUAGUGGAAUUUCCUGUGUAGCGGUGAAAUGCGUAGAUAUAGGAAGGAACACCAGUGGCGAAGGCGACUACCUGGACUGAUACUGACACUGAGGUGCGAAAGCGUGGGGAGCAAACAGGAUUAGAUACCCCAGUAGUCC